rnacentral:rRNA from 1 species
AACGAACGCUGGCGGCAUGCCUAACACAUGCAAGUCGAACGAGAUCUUCGGGUCUAGUGGCGCACGGGUGCGUAACGCGUGGGAAUCUGCCCUUUGGUUCGGAAUAACAGUUGGAAACGACUGCUAAUACCGGAUGAUGACGAAAGUCCAAAGAUUUAUCGCCAGAGGAUGAGCCCGCGUAGGAUUAGCUAGUUGGUGUGGUAAAGGCGCACCAAGGCGACGAUCCUUAGCUGGUCUGAGAGGAUGAUCAGCCACACUGGGACUGAGACACGGACCAGACUCCUACGGGGGGCAGCAGUGGGGAAUAUUGGACAAUGGGCGAAAGCCUGAUCCAGCAAUGCCGCGUUAGUGAUGAAGGCCUUAGGGUUGUAAAGCUCUUUUACCCGGGAUGAUAAUGACAGUACCGGGAGAAUAAGCUCCGGCUAACUCCGUGCCAGCCGCCGCCGUAA